CAAAAAACACUCGGAUUGAAGGCAACAGUUUACUUCCUGGGAUUAGUGACGUAGAUAAGACCAACAUUAUCAUAGUUCAGCCCUCUCUGCUUUGCUUGGGUACGCCCUCAAAGACGAGGGUGGGGUGGGGAGCGCCGAGUCAGAAGAGAGCUAAAAUGGCGGAGGUUGGGAGUCCCUGCUUUGACUCUGUUUGCAAACUCUUGUUUCAUUGUUUAAGCGAUUAAAUCUCUCGAGUAGACGCUGUCUCUUUAGAUGCGAGGGCAAAAUAGCACUUUAUGGACUUCCACAGAGGACAUCAUGUUUAAUACGGUUCCGGAAAAUUCCAGUCAGAAGUUGUUCACGGAGUUUUCACAAUAACUGCUUCUCAUGAACCGAAGCUGGAUUUGCGCGACGUCUCCUCUUGAAAGUUGGAUUACUGUGCACUUCUGGAUCACAGACUAUUCGCAGCUGUACACAUCCUUCUACACUGUAUGCAAACAUGCAACAUCAUAACACACAGUACAAGGAGUCAGACUGGCAUAUGAGGAGCAAAGGAACCCAGGCAGUAGCAUCGUUUCCCAAUGUUUCCAUCAUCAUCAUCAGUGGAUGCCUUUGCCGUCCGUAGCCUGAGAUUUCAGAUUUGCAGCAAAAAAAAUUGAUUUUCUCAUUUAUUGGAAUGCUGUGCAGGUAUUUGUACCUUGCAGCCAUCCAUUACAAUGUCACCAAGCCGUAACAAAAGCAGGAGAGGGAAAGUACAAGGCUAUGUUCCCAAAACACAAAUGACACACCGUA